CCUGUCAUAGUCCCGCCCCCAAAUCCCGUGGACCUCUGCGAGAUGCUAUUUAAGUGUCUCUCGGUAGGCUUUCGGUCUCAUUCUUCCACAGAUUUCGGGUUCGGGCGCGCGUCGAGCACUAAAGGAUAGCAAAGAGUUCUCGUUACAAUGUGGUUUAAAUCAAAAGACCUUAUGGGUGGGACGAUGGGACAAGACCCGUCCCUGUGUGGACCAAGCAUUAUGGCGAUGCUCCAGCAUCUCAUCGCCAAUCCUAAGGAAUUCAGCUGCCUCCCAGGGUGAAUGCAGCUUGUUCCUCUUGGAAUGAUUUUCCUGGGGAGGGAGAUGGCAGCCCAGCAAGCAGCACAGUUGGUUCUUGUGAUGGUGUGCUCUUCCCUCACCCACAUGUCACUGUCAGAUGAUUUGAGUGGUAAUGCUGAUUCUCCAUGAGGUUGUCCUCAUGGUGAUGUAUACAUCUGUCUUACAAUGCCUCUUGAUCUGCUCAGGGUCAAACUCCUGGAGAGAGUUGAGAAUCGUGAGUACUGGUAACCUUUCUGGUUGUAGCUUGUUUCCAGUGCCAGUGAGGAGAGCAAGCAUUCUGUCUUACUCCUGUUCUAGCCCCAGAGCCAGUAAUGGUGAACCCACUGGGGCUAACGGGGAGAGGGGAUGAAAGCUUGUUCCAUAAGGAAGUGUCUGAGGUGCAGCAAAUGCCUGCGGAUAUCACUUGCUUAGCUUUUCUUGGUUUAUCCAUUAACCCUAGCUAGAAUAAUUCUGGCUAUGUUGCUAAUUACAUGACAUUCUCAUUCAGGAGCAGCUUGUUCCUUGUUCCUGUAUUACUCCUGGAAAGCCUCCCGCGUUGAAAGGUUAGUUGAUUAAUGUCUGUAUGGCAUAUAUCACCAAGUAAGCAGUUUCUAUGAUGAAUCAGACUAGCUCACUAUGACUUAAAUAAUGAGAAGACCUGAACAUCUGAGAAACUGGAGAAGACAGCAGUGGGAUACUGUCUGUAAGGAACUUGUAUCACUCACAGCUUCAUCCUUCCCUAGGUACCAUUGCCAGUUACCUGCUUGUUUGCUCAAAGGUGAGUGUUUUUCAUAUGCGUUGGUGCACACAGCGUAUUGAGUAGAAAGAAAUGCCUUUUUCGGCAUGUCUGUAUGAUGACUUACCUGGAAUCUCGUUCGGCUGACGAUUUGCUGUUGAGACUCGGAAAUCUGAUUUUCUAGGAACCAUAGCUUAGGUGGGAACAACUUUUAAUGCAGGAAUUAAGCUUACUGAUUCAGUCUUGUUUUUGUUUUAGGUCCAACUCCUUGUCUGGAGCCUGAGAAUGAAUUGAGGUAAAUCUGUCAUCUGUGGCUACUAUAUAGAAUUUGCCAGGGUUUCUUGUGGCACUUUGGAUAGCUGUGCAGACAUUACUUGUUUAAUCCAAAGUUUGUCUUUGGCCAUUUGUGAACCACCUGUGACAGAUUUCCACUCACCAGUGAUGAGUUCAGUACCGCCCCAGUCUGAUCACUAUGACUGAAAGGUAUUUUCUGAGCUGUGAGUUUGCCUUGGAGUGAAAGGUGACAAUAGUGGGAAGUUGGGUGGGCUUUAUAGCCAAUAGGAAGCUUUGUGGACUAGGUGGUGGUUUCUAUCAAAAUGUCUGUUGAGACCUACAUAGAUGUGCCUUUUGUCUCGGGGUGGUUUAGAGACUUAGUUCCCAAUCGUUCUUUCGCAGGGGAAAGGAGUAAGCCAUAUUUCUGUUCAACUCCAGUCUGAAGUUAAGAGGUGAGUAAAUGUAAGCACAAGGUGGGUCAAGUUAAAAUUUCCCAGUGAAGAAAUACUCACAUGUCUUACUUCCUGUCCUAGUCCCAGAGCCUGUAAAGGUGAACCCACUGGGGCUGGCUGGGGGAGAAGAGGAAAGCUUGUUCCAGAAGGAACUGUCUGAGGGAUCAUAAGAAUUUCUAAACAAGGCAAAGGAGGGAAUAAAUUACUGGUUGAAAAUCGGUUGUGUUUUUUUUUUCCUUCAGGUCUGAAGAAAGAACAAAGCACACAUAAUGGAGUCCAACUCUCAAAGGAUAUCAAAAAUGGAAUUUUCUUAUACAACCUACCUGUUCAAAUUAGCAUACAAUCAUUUUAGCCUUUCUAAAUAAAACUUUUUGUUUUUUUAAACCUUCA